UGAGUGGGCCCAGCUGAGGAAGGGCUGGAGGAAACAGAAUGCAGGGAGUCAAAAGGUGCCUGCAGGGUGUUGAGUGAGCACCCAGGGGACAGACUGGGAGACCUAGAAGGGAAGGAAAGAGGCGAGGAAGGAAAUGGCACAGGGAAAAUUGUAAUAUGGGUAGAGGAUUUGAUUUAGCUGUGCAGAGAGGGGGUUGCAGUCUGAAUGUGACCUCGCUGAGGAAGGAGCUGUGGAGAGGCUGGAAGCUUUUUAUUUCUGUUAAAAUAGUUUUGAAUUUGAGUGUGGAUCUCUGACCCUGGAAGGAACAGGCUAAAGACUGUGCCCUGGCUGGAGGGGUGAGUUAUCUGCAAGAAACCACCCCAGCCCCAGAGUGACUGUUGACAAGGACACUGUGAUGCUCUGCCUGGCCAUGAGGAAGCGCAUAAUGCACUGUAUCCCAGCCCAGGUGUACAACCAGCUGAUGAUAGCACCUUUGGCACAGGGAAAAUUGUAAUAUGGGAAGAGGAUUUGAUUUAGCUGUGCAGAGAGGGGGCUGCAGUCUGAAUGUGACCUCCCUGAAGACGGAGCUGUGGAGAGGCUGGAAGCUUUUUAUUUCUGUUAAAAUAGUUUUGAAUUUGAAUGUGGAUCGCUGACCCUGGAAGGAACAGGCUAAAGACUGUGCCCUGGCUGGAGGGGUGAGUUAUCUGCAAGAAACCACCCCAGCCCCAGAGUGACUGUUGACAAGGACACUGUGAUGCUAUGCCUGGCCAUGACGAAGUGCAUAGUGGUCCUUUGGAAGAAAAUGGCUGUCUAAAUGACUCAGGUAUGCAUGGCUGUCUAAAUGACUCAGUUUCAUUAGCCCCGAUUUACCUUCUCC